UCCCUGGAGGUCCAGUGGUUAAGACUCUGCACUCACAACGCAGAGGGCGUGGUUUCAAUCCCUGAUCAGGGAA
rnacentral:tRNA from 1 species